rnacentral:lncRNA from 1 species
GCAGUCCAAAGCUAUUUGUCAGCUGGACAGGUCAGCUACAGAGCUGCCCAAGAAAACAUAUUUGAAUGAGCAACCAUCAAGCAACUCUCCAACUAAGAGUGCAACCUUCACUCUCCAUACUGUUCAAGGGAAAAAAAAUCAUUUCGUCUCAGUCGUCAAAAGCCUCAAUUUCCUCAACUCUGAAAAGGCCAGCUUUAAUGUAUGCCAAGCACAGUAUUAGACCUCAAAAACCAAGACAGCUCCACGUGGCCACUCUAAACAGGACAGAUUAUCUGCCAGUAUAAUCGCCGGUUACAGAAACCCACAGUUUAACCACUCCAUCACUUACAGCUGGCCUCGAUUGUGGAAAGGCUGAGUGUCAGCAAGAACACCCCGAACCAGGAUGCUCCCUAGAGUCUGAUUCGUUCGUGAAAACACUCCAUUAAAACUCUGUACCGAAACGCUGAUAAUCCACAUGUAAAGGGAGAAAAGAGCUCCACAUCCAAGAGACUCACCUACUUCGUUUUUUCUAACUCUGCAGGAAGGAGUGAAACCAGCAUUACAGGGCUAAGACGUACUAAUUCUACACUGAUGCAGUAACUGGUAGGAGACAUAAUGUUUUAAGACAUCAUAGGUUUAAAUAGGCGAGAGUUAAAAAACAGGUUCGAACAAGUUUAUUUGCAAAGAGAGGCAGGAAGGUUCCAGCCCUACCCAGGCAGUCGUGCUAGUACCGAGCCAGGGUUGGGUCGGGAAAUUCAGGAAGCAGGGCUGAGUUUUCCCUUCGCCCAGACCUGCGCCCGGUAGUUUGGAAGUCAGGCUUCGAGACAUUCUCAAAGGUACAGAGCCCACGCUCGACUACGAGAUGCCAAGCGCAACCUGCCUGGGUUGUUUGACCCGAGUUUUAUUCAGGGCAUAGCAAAGGAGACGGUGCCUAAACCCACUUUUCUUCCUGGAUUCAUCCGACAAGCAGAGUGGAGAGGGCUACGGAGCUCAGCGCUAUUCACCAGUGCUCGGCGCAAGAGGCGACACGCCCCUGGAGCAGUCGGGAUCCUCCGCCCGAGCCCGGCACGCCCCGCUCCACGCGGAGUCCCGGAGGCCGGACGGGAAGACCCCGGGGUAGCCUCUCGGGCUUCCCCCUGCCCCUUCCCGCCCGCCCAGGGCACAGGAUUUCCCGGACGGCUGAGCGCCGCGGGGCCAGCCCGAGCGACCCACCCGGGCCCUACGUUCGGCCGCGGAGCUGGGAGCGCACCCAGGCAGGUCCUCCACGCCUGGACUCCUGGCCCGGUUCUCCGAUCUGACAACCCCCGCGCUGCGCCCGGCCUCGCUCACCUGGCCCGCACAGCACUGAGCUGACAUCGCGGCGGCCAAUGCCGAAGGCGCGCUCGCUGGCUCCCCGCGCCGCACGGGCCCUCCUGGCUGCCUCGCGCCUCGAGCGCUGGGCUCAGCCGCAGCUCACACUUGAACGAAGAUCAGCCUCGGCGAAGCGCCUAGGCGCCGAGGCCUGGGUAAAAACAACUGCGGCCAAGCCCCGCCCCGCCGCCGGCCCCGCCUCGCCCGCCCCCAGCCCCGCCCCGUGCCCGCCCCUUCCCGGGCGCCCGGCGGCGGAGCAGGCUCGACCCGGGCUCGCACUUCCGCUGGCGUCAGGCGGGUGGGCUGCUGCGAUCACUUCCCGGUUGGGGCGCCGAGCUCCGGAGUCGGCCGCCAGCCUUUGGGCCCCACGCUCCGGGUCUGGUGCGCGGUCUGGCCGCGCUCGGGCCCUCGCCAAAUGAGAGCGCAGCGCCUCUCCGCCUUCGGAUCCAGAGAAAGAGCUUGUUGCUGCCUCUAAAAGGUUGGAGCCUUAGUAAGCGGUUCCUGCCUUUCCUGCACAGACCAGACCGCCGGGUGCUGGUCUGCGCUCUGCCGCGCGCCGACUGGGACAGCCCACCCACGAGAUCCUUGUUCCUGAAAUCCCUUUCCUUCCCUCAUCUGCCAAGAAAACUUUCAACUUUUGGGCUCUCCGCGCCUCCCAAGCUUCCUCGAAUCCCUGGGCCCUUGACUGUUCUGCCCUGAUGGCACUUGGUGAGAGAUCCAUUGAGAGCCCUUUCCGUGCCUUCCUGAAUAUUGAUAUGUUUUCCAGCCUCUCCUCCUGCGCUGGCCCAAGGACUCAUUUUCCGUCCCUGCUUCCUCACUAAAAAGAGGGUGCCCAAUAAUUGCUUGUUCCAUACAGAAGGCAGGGAGGCCGUCUCUAGGUUUUCUCCCACUCAGAUCUGCUGUCCUCACAGCCACCUCCCCAAGAGGAAUGAAGGUAUUUCUUUUUUUUUUUUCUUUUUUUUCUCUGAGACGGAGCUUCACUCUGUCGCCCAGGCUGGAGUGCAGUGACGCGAUCUCGGCUCACUGCAACCUCUGCCUCCCGAGUAGCUGGGAUUACAGGCGCCUGCCACCACGCCCGGCUAAUUUUUUGUAUUUUUAGUAGAGACGGGGUUUCACCAUCUUGGCCAGGCUGGUCUCGAACUCCUGACCUCAGGUGAUCCGCCCGCCUCGGCCUCCCAAAGUGCUGGGAUUACAGGCGUGAGCCACCGCGCCCUGCCGGAAUGAAGAUAUUUCUGUUAGUGCGAUUUUUGCGCCAAUCCCUUUGCUCUUUCAAAUAAGCAUUACCGUACCCAUUUUAGCGGUGAGGCAACUGAAGCCCAGAGAGGUUAAAUAACUUGCCCAAAGCCUCACAGCAAAGUUGAGGAAGUAAAACUGGGCCUGGAAUCCACUCGUCUGAUCCCCUGGCACAUGACGCAAGGCUUGACCUUAGAGGGACUCGUUUCCAGACAGAGCUCUGGCAAAGGAGUGUCUUGGGCAGCUUAGGAGUAGAAGAGGAAAGGUGAAUGGAAACCAGGCCUUGGGUUAUGAGCUGCGCAGGAUUUUCCAGCAUCUCAGAUGCAGGCGUUUAGAGAAAGAGAUAUAAUGGAGCAGGCCCUACUCAGAGCCACGAAAAGGAAUGAGGACAGUUGGCUCUAACUCAAAACAAAAAUAGGGUAAACCCAAUCAGUCAAGCGCAGCAACCUGCUCCGUGGCGAUCUGUGACUCAUCAGAAGCUGAGGCUCUCACCAGGACUUUCUAAUGAGCUUCGCUGUUGGCUACGACCGCGGUCACUUCACUUCAGCCCUACUCCUGGCCUGGGGAAAUGGGCAGGCCCCCUAGUAGCUCGGGGUGGGGAGACGGGUGGAGAGGAAGGAGGGGCGAAAAGGGAAGGCGCGAAAUCUACAAAUGUUUAAGCCAGCUGGAACUCCGAUGCCUCUUUGCCUUUUAGGGAAAUUGACUCGACUCGGAACUCGAGGACCUUUCACAAGAGACCACUGGGUUAGGGGGCAGAGCUGGUAAUAGAAUCCAGCGCUCCGAACCCUGAAUCAUGUCCUCUUUUUGCUGCUGAGGCUCAGGCCACAGCACCCCAAAUUAUGACUGUAGAAUACCAAAAUAUGCUAUCCCAAAAUACACUUGUUUGGCACAUUUCAAGCUGGUUAUUCUGAGAAACUGCAGACACGGGAGUAGCUCUGAAAAGCUGUCCUUUUGUAAAGCAAAUUUACAUCUAUAAAGGAAGUCCACAUAGUAAAAGUAUCUGUGUCAGGAAGGCAGCUGCUCAGAGAACUUUUAUUACAUGAGAGACUUUACAUAACAAGGCAACUUUUUUUUUUUUUUUUUUUUUUUUUUUUGAGGCAGAGUCUCGCUCAGUCGCCCAGGCUGGAGUGCAUUGGCAUGAUCCCGGCUCACUGCAACCUCCGCCCCCCGGGUUCAAGCGAUUCUCCGGCCUCAGCCUCUGAAGUAGCCGGGAUUACAGGCGCGCGCCACCGCGCCCGGGUAAUUUUUGUAUUUUUAGUAGAGACGGGGUUUCACCAUGUUGGUCAGGCUGGUCUCGAACUCCUGACCUCGUGAUCCGCCCACCUCGGCCUCCCAAAGUGCUGGGAUUACAGGUGUGAGCCACCGCGCGCAGCCACAAGGCAACAUUAUUUACCAUACAUUUCCUCCACUAACCCUCCUAUAUCCUACCUGUGGUGCCUCCCCACUGUCCCCACAGAAGCCCCAAGCCCUUAUUUAUUUCUAGCUCAGAAUGCUAUAAGCUUCAAUCAUCUGGCCCUUCAUGUUUUGUGAGAUUCCUGUGCUGCUGCGUAUGCAGGUAAUUAAAACGGUUUUUCUUCUGUUAAUCUGUCUUAUGUCGGCCAGGCGUGGUGGCUCAUGCCUGUAAUCCCAGCACUUUGGGAGGCCGAGGUGGGCGGAUCACGAGGUCAGGAGUUUGAGACCAGCCUGACCAACAUGGUGCAACCCCAUCUCUACUAAAAAUACAAAAGAAGUAGCCGGGCGAGGUGGUGCGCACCUGUAAUCCCAGUUACUCAGAAGCUGAGGCAGGAGAAUCGCUUGAACCCAGGAGGCGGAAGUUGCAGUUAGCCGAGAUUGUGCCACAGCACUCCAGCCUGGGCGACAGAGCAAGAUACCGUCUCAAAAAAAAAAAAAAAAAUCUCUGUUAUGUCAAUUUAAUUUGCAAUCCAAGUAAAGAACCUAGAAGGGUAGAGGGAAGCCAUUUUUCCCUCCCCUACAUUGCUAGUUCCAUGCCAAUGUGAGAGGACUCUGAGAAUGUGGAUGUCUGCCACCUGGAGAAAGAGUCUUAAUAACCUGGGCACUUGGCCAGGCACGGUGGCUCACACCUGUCAUCCCAGCAUUUUCAGAGGCAAAGGUGGGUGGAUCACCUGUGGUUAGGAGUUCAAGACCAGCCUGGCCAACAUGGCGAAACCCUGUCUCUACUAAAAAUACAAAAAUUAGCCAGGCAGGGUGGUGGGCACCUGUAAUUUCAGCUACUCAGGAGGCUGAGGCAGGAGAAUCACUUGAACCCAGGAGGCGGAGGUUGCAGUUAGCCUAGAUGGUGCCAUUGCACCCCAGCCUGGGCAACAAGAGCAAAAUUCUAUCUCAAUAGAUAAAUAAAUAAAUAACCUGGGGACUUGUAGCCUCUAUUGAAAGGUACCAGAAAAGGAUAAAGCCUGAGUUUUCAAGCCAGGAAGUUGCAAAUUCUAACUCUACCAAGAAGUAGCUGGGUGACCUCCAAGCCUCAGUUUCCUCAUCUUCAAAACCAGGUUAAUAGUGUCAGAGGCAUUUGAACCAGAGAGACUCCAUCUUGAAUAGGGACUGGGUAAAAUAAGGCUGUGACCUGCUGGGCUGUAUUCCCAGGAAGUUAAGGCAUUCUUCGAGGAUGAGAUGGUGGGGGUCAGCACAAGAUACAGGUCACAAAGACCUUGCUGGUAAAAUAGGAUGUAGUAAAGGAGCCGGCCAAAACCCAUCAAAAUCAAGAUGGCGACCAAAGUGAGCUCUGGUCGUGCCCACUGCUCAUUAUACACUAAUUAUAAUUCAUUAGCAUGCUAAAAGACACUCCCACCAGCACCAGGACAGUUUACAAACAUCAGGAAGUUACCCUAUAUGGUCUAAAGGAGGAGGAACCCUCAGUUCUGGGAAUUGCCCAUCCCUUUCGCGGAAAACUCAUGAAUAAUCCACCCCUUGUUUAGCAUAUAAUCAAGAAAUAACUAUAAUUAGUUGAGCAGCCCAUGCUGCAGCUCUGCCUAUGGAGUAGCCAUUCUUUACCUCCUUUACUUCUCUAAUAAAUUUGAUUUCACUUUAUGGACUUGCCCCAAAUUCUUUCUUGCGUGAGGUUCAAGAACCCUCUCUUGUGGACUGGAUGAGGACCCCACUCUGGUAACAAUAUACUUUUUGUCCAGUCACAUUUCUACAUGGCUGUCCAUACUCUGUUGAAUGUAAGCAUAAGAAUGGACAAUUUUGCUGUAUCUUUGGAUCUUCAUUCUGAAGGCUCCCAUGGCAUGUAAAACUAUGAUCAAAUAAAUUUGUAUGCCUUUUUUCCUUUUAAUCUGCCUUGUCGGUUGAUUUUCAGUGAAACUUCAGAGGGUAAAGGGGAAGUUUGCCCUUCACCCCUACAUGGUCAAGCUCAAGAUACCAAAAGACAUCAGCUGAAAAUUCAAUCAACUUGCCUGAAUCAUCCACCCCAAGCUUAGGAAGCAUGCUUGAACCCACCUGGCCAAGGCUGGUUUUGCCGGCCAAAGUCCAAGGCCAAGGCUCCAACCAAAGCCCAGACUUCAGUUGCAGCUCCAGUUCCAGUUCCAGUUCCAGCUCCAGUUCCAGUUCCAGUUCCAGCUCCAGAUCAAAUUUCCAAGGGUGCCCAUGCACACCCACAAAGGAUCUGGAGGAGAGGCCUCUGUCUACCAAUGGGAGGACAGAAGGACUGGUGUGAGCCCUGGGCUGCCAUCUGUUUCUGCAUGGAGCUGGUACCAUUCUUUUCUAUUUAUACAAACAAACAUGAGGCAGGAUCUGUCCAUUAAAAAAAAGAGGCCGGGCACAGUGGCUCAUGCCUAUAAUCCCAGCAUUUUAGGAGGCCGAGGUGGGUAAAUCACCUGAGGUUGGGAGUUCGAGACCAGCCUGGCCAAUAUGGUGAAACCUCUUCUCUACUAAAAAUACAAAAAUUAGCCGAGCGUCGCGGCACAUCUUUAAUCCCAGCUCCUCAGGAGGCUGAGGCACAAGAAUCACUUGAACCCAGGAGGUGGAGGUUGCAGUAAGCCGAGAAAACACCACUACACUCCAGCCUAGGCGACAGAAUGAGGCUCCAUCUUGAAAAGAAAAAGAAAAUUAAAAAGAAACAGUCUAUACAGGCUCAUUCCCUUUCCCCACUCAGAGUUUUUUCAAAGGAAUGUGGCCAGAUCUGGAGGUUUACCUGCCUUCUGGCUCUGAGGACUUUGCAGUUACUAUUUAAGGUCUGGUUAAUAGCUUCCUUUGCAUCGUGGUUGGUUAACAAGAGUAGGCUGGGCAGAGUGGCUCACGCCUGUAAUCCCAGCACUUUGGGAGGCCGAGGCGGGCGGAUCACGAGGUCAGGAGAUCGAGACCAUCCUGGCUAACAUGGUGAAACCCCAUCUCUACUAAAAAUAUAAAAAAUUAGCCGGGCCUGGUGGCGGGU